rnacentral:rRNA from 1 species
GACGAACGCUGGCGGCGUGCUUAACACAUGCAAGUCGAACGGAAAGGCCCUGCUUUUGCGGGGUGCUCGAGUGGCGAACGGGUGAGUAACACGUGAGUAACCUGCCCUUGACUUUGGGAUAACUUCAGGAAACUGGGGCUAAUACCGGAUAGGAGCUCCUGCUGCAUGGUGGGGGUUGGAAAGUGUCGGCGGUUGGGGAUGUACUCGCGGCUUAUCAGCUUGUUGGUGGGGUAGUGGCUUACCAAGGCUUUGACGGGUAGCCGGCCUGAGAGGGUGACCGGCGACAUUGGGACUGAGGUACGCCCCAGAAGCGUACGGGAGGCAGCAGGGGGGAGUCUUGCACAAUGGGCGGAAGCGUGAUGCAGCAACGCCGCGUGCGGGAUGACGGCCUUCGGGGUAUAAACCACUUUCGACGGAGACGAAGCGUGAGUGACGGUAAUGAGUAAAGAAGCACCGGCUAACUACGUG